UUGAAUAAACUUGGUUGGGUUGUUGCUGGCUCUCAGGAGCAUGUGCACGCUCGGUCAAAUUUUAACCACCUGUGCACACACUGUAGGCCUGAAUGAAAUUUGUCGAGGAAAAAACUCGGUUUGAGAACUGCUGAGCUGUUCUUGCAUUUCAGGUCUAUGUUUCAAACAUAUACUCCAUAUACAAGUAAUAGAAUGUUAAUUAUUGGCCUUCUUGUGCCUUUAAACCUAAUACAACUUUCAACAACGGAUCUCUUGGCUCUCGCAUCGAUGAAGAACGCAGCGAAAUGCGAUAAGUAAUGUGAAUUGCAGAAUUCAGUGAAUCAUCGAAUCUUUGAACGCACCUUGCGCUCCUUGGUAUUCCGAGGAGCAUGCCUGUUUGAGUGUCAUGAAAUUAUCAACCUUUCUGGCUUUUUAUGAGCUGGUCAGGCUUGGAUUGUGGAAGUUGCUGGCUUCUUUUUGAGAUCAGCUCUUCUUAAAUGUAUUAGCAAAAUUCUUGCUGGACCAUCUUUGGUGUGAUAAUUAUCUAUACCAUUGAAGAUCACAGCUUUCACUUCAGCGGAUUUCAGGCUCUGCUUGGAUUUAUUUCCAAGUGUUCGAUUCAACCGCUCUGAAGCACCAGCCUAGGCACAGACAUUAACUUGUUUGAUGGUGUUGAAUACUUCAGGUUGACGAAGCGAGGUGUUUCCUUAGGGAAGCGCUCACGAGAGCAAGCAGUGUCAGAGCAUCAUCAAGAUGUACUGAUAUGUGCACUGUCAUAUUCCUGUACCUACCCUAGCUACUAUGUGGCUUUGAUGGGUUUGGUCAAACCAUGACCUGAACAUAUCCUUAGUGGGAGAAUCUUGCUUCUAAUAUUGUUCCUAGAAACAAAUCUUUUGACAAU
rnacentral:misc_RNA from 2 species